GAGAGAGACAAAGCAUGAAUGGGGGAGGGGCAGAGAGAGAGGGAGACACAGAAUCGGAAACAGGCUCCAGGCUCCGAGCCAUCAGCCCAGAGCCCGACGCGGGGCUCGAACUCACGGACCGCGAGAUCGUGACCUGGCUGAAGUCGGACGCUUAACCGACUGCGCCACCCAGGCGCCCCCCUAUUUUUAUUUUCUUAAAAUUUAUUUAUUUUGAGAGAGCACGGAUGCAGAGAAAGGGAGAGACAGAUUCCUAAGCAGGCUUAGCACAGAGCCUGACAUGGAGCUUGAGCUCAGGAAACCGUGAGAUCGUGACCUGAGCUGUUAUCAAGAGUUGGACACUUAACCCAACUGAGCCACCCAGGUACCCCUGAAAGCAUAAUUAAAAAAACUUUUUUUUUUUCAUUUUUUAAAGUUUAUUUAUUUUGAUAGAGAACGAGUGGGCGACGGGUGGGGGGGAACAGAGGAUCUGAAGCAGGCUCUGUGGUGACAGCCCAGUGUGGGGCUCGAAUUCACAAACUGCGAGAUCAUGACCUGAACUGAAGUCAGACGCUUAACACAUUGAGCCACCCAGAUGCCCCAAAAGCAUAAUUUUUUUGAAAGUUUUGAUGAUUUAUUUAUUUAUUUUAAUUUUUUAAAUGUUUAUUUACUUUUGGGAGAGAGAGUGUGACCGGGGGAGGGGCAGAGACAGAGAGGGAGACGCGGUCUCCAAGCUGUCAGCUUAGAGCCUGAUGGGGCACUGGAACUCAUGAGAAGCCACAUCAUGACCUCAGCCGAAGAGGGAUGCUUAACUGACUGAGCCACUGAGGUGCCCCCAAAAGCAUAAUUCAAAAAAAAAUAAAAAAAUAAAUUUUAUUUUAUUUUAUUUUUUUUGAGAGAGCACGAGCAUGAGCAGUGAUGGGGCAGACACAGAAUAGGAAGCAAGCUCCAGACUCUAUGGGGGGCCAAACUCACGAACUCCGAGAUCAUGACCUGAGCUGAAGUCAGAUGCUUAGCCGACUGAGCCACCCAAAGCAUUUUUAAAAAAAAAAUUUUUUUUAACGUUUAUUUAUUAUUGAGAGACAGAGAGAGACAGAGCGUGAACAGGGGAGGGGCAGAGAGAGGGGGAGGCACAAUGUGAAGCAGGCUCCGGUCUCCGAGCUGUCAGCACAGAGCCCGACUCUGGGCUCAAACCCAUGAAACGUGAGAUCAUGACCUGCGCCGAAGUCAGACGCUCAUCUGAGCCACCCGGGCGCCCCUAACCCAAAGCAUAAUUUUUAAAAAAGAAGGCUGUAAGGCUGAUUUUGCAGCAAUUUUUUUUUUUUUUUACUUUAUAUUUAAGACGAGUGUGUAUUUAAACAGCAAUGACAGGAGUAGGGUAAAGGUUAAACUUUUAGACUUUAUAGAACACAUUUAUCUAGAAUUUCACAUUUCACAAACUUCUUUCACAAACUUUUUUACUUAUAUCAUGUAUCAGUGAACUAGAUAAUGUUGCUUCCAUUUUAUGGUUCUUUAGAAAAGUGAAUUUGAGAUUUAAUGUUUUUUUUUUUUUCUACCACAUGACUGUUUGGCUAGUAAAUGGCAAAGCCAGAACUUGUCUGCUGAUCUUUAGACCGGUACUCUCAUUUCUUCUAAGCCACUUCUAAGCCACAAAAGAGACCUGUGUGUAACUAAUUAAGGUAGUAAGCUGGGAAUGCUGUAUACUUACUUUUUUAGUAGUUCAAAUGUGUCUUGGUGCUUGACUUGUAUCGGUCAUAAAUAGUAGAUAAAACAUCUUCACGCUUUUCUAAAGAAACCUCGUGUUUUCAAAACAGUUCCAGCUUAGGACACCUCCCUGGCUCAGUCCGAAAAGCGCGCCCCUCUUUAAUUUUUUUUAACAUUUACUUAUUAAAAAUAUUUUUUAAUGUUUAUUUUUGAGAGAGAGGGAGGAGCAGAGAGAGGGAGACACAGAAUCUGAAGCAGGCUUCUGGCUCUGAGCUGUCAGCACAGAGCCCGAUAUGGAGCUCUAACCCACGAAUCGUGAGAUCAUGACCUGAGCUGAAGUGGGUCGCUUAACUGACUGAGCCACCCAGGCUCCCCAACGUUUAUUUAUUUUUGAGGGAGAGGGAGACACAGAAUCUGAAGCAGGCCCCAGUCUCUGAGCUGUCAGCACAGAGCCCGACAUGGGGCUCGAACCCACAAACCGUGAGAUCGUGACCUGAGCCGAAGUUGGAUUCUUAAACGCUUAACCCAGUAAGCCACGCAGGUGCCCCAUAGUGUGUGAUUCUUGAUCUUGGGGUCAUGAGUUUGAGCCCCACAUUGGGUGGAGAGAUUAUUAAAAAAAAAUUAAUAAACUUAAAAAAAAUCUCAUUUUAAGGCACAGUGAAUGAAGUUAGAAUGAGGGAUUUUAGGUAAUCUCAAAAUUUGUGUUUGCAUACGGUUUCCUUGGUUUCCUCGGUUUGUAGAGUCUGCUGGGGUAUGGCCAGGCAUUUCUGCAAAUUGCUUUUAUUUAAAACCUCUGUCCACCCCCCCCCCCCUUUUGUCUUGAUGGAUGCAGCCUUUAAGUUAAUGAUUUAGUCAUAACACUUUUAGGAGGGGGAGAGGUUGACAAAUGAUUUGCAAAUGUUCCAGAUACUAGCCUAGAGAGCUGUCAUACAGAAUCCAUUAAGGGGUAGUGAGGAACAGUAGCAAAAAGUUAACGUAUACUGUUUCUGAAAUGGUCAGUUAACAGUAAAUUGGUUUGCCAACAUAAUUCUGUGGUUUGAACUCAUUAACUAAAUAUUCAUGUUAGACUACAUAAUAAUUGGGUCAUAAUAACUGCCAUAAUAAUUAAAGGGCCAUCAUAAUUUAUCAUUCAAAUCAGGAUACCUUGAAACGAAGGGGUAGCAAUUCAUAAUAGUGCUAAGACCGUAAGCAUAAACUAGGAUUGUUCGGAGAUGCAAACUUGCCUUACGGUUAUUGUACUUAAGACCAUUUGUUCUUACUCAUCUCAUUUAGAUUCAUACAAACCACCAACCGGUGGACCUGACUGAUAGUGUCAAAGCCAGAUAUGUUAGUUUUAUGUCUGUCUGUCUUGAGUAGAUCUGUGUUUUUGAUGAAUGCAGUGGUUAAGCUCAGGUCAUGAUGUCAGUUUGUGUCAGCUCAGAACCUGCUUUGGAUCCUCUGUCUCUCUCUCUCUGCCCCCUCUCCCCCCCCCCCCCCCCCCGCUUGUUCUCUCUAUCUCUCCAUCUCUCUCUUCCCCCCCCCCCAAAAAAAAAAAACAAACAUUAAAAAAGUCUUUAAAAAUACUUGACUUAGGUGUUAGUAGCAGUGUCUGUCCUAAGCUUGGACGAUUUUCCCCAAGUACGCUUCUAUAGUCUAACCCCAUACCUUGUUAUGACCAUUCUGUUUAGAACACUGAAUUGUUUAGUUUAGAAAACAUGACCAUGAUCCUGGUUUAUCUUGUUUUAAAUUUAAUCUUCAAUUUGUAGCCCUUCUUCAAACGAUUUAGCACAAUAGCUGGGCAGAUCUGUCAUUGGUAAGCUUGAUUUGUGAUCAGGUCAGGAUUUUAUCCAGCUAAAGCAAUAUGAAAUAUGUUUAAUGUUCAUUUGUGAAAUUUCAAAGAGACACGUUGCAUUGAAAUUUAUGACUAUUUUCAUAUUUUGGCAGAUGUGGUAUAGUGCAAAGGCCUUGGAACCCUUGCAUUCCUUGUCUGUAGAAGGGCAAUUAAUGAUUACUUGCCUUGCCUGCUAAUUUACAGGGUUAUGAAAUUGUGGGUUCAUUAAAGGGCAGAGUAUUCCUGUUUUCCGGUGUGAAAGAUGAAGUAAAAUUUUGCUGUGGGUAUACUGUGGUCAUAUUAUAAGAUGAAUUAUCUCUUUUGAGUUUUUCCUAGCAAGUGUACUCUUGUGGUGUUAGUCUCUAAGUUACAUUUGCAUAAAGAGAAAUUAGUUCUGAAAAUCCUUAAUUGUAACUCAAAUCUGAACAUUUGCAUAUCCUAAAAGUGAAGGUUGUCCAAAUUAUUCCGAAGCAAUAUAAUACAUAAUUUGGCCAUGUUGAGCUGGUCUGUAGUUCUUUUGAUACUAAUUCCAGGUUAAUAUUCAAGAGAAUGUUCAUGUCUCUCUGACAAAUAAAACACCUGUUGUAGGUAGAUCUGGAAUGAAAGAUUCCAUAGAAUAAAAAUAUAAUUUAGGAUUAAAAUAUUUUUGCUAGCAGUCUCAAGAUUACUCACUAGGAACAUACUGAUACUAUCUAUAGUAGGUACAUAUAGUGUAUAUACUACCUAUAACCAGUUUUGUGAAAUGUGAUUCUAAAGGCUUAAUGUAAGCCUUGGGCAGUGAAUGGGUUCUGAUUAAUAAAAUGCUACCAAUUAAUACUACUUGUACCUUGGUGGUUUAGUAAUUGUAUUUAUUUGUUAUAAUGUGUUGUUUUAAGUAGUAAAACUUUAUGAGAAGAAUAUCAUGAAAAUUUCAAAACCCUGUGUGUUCUUUGACUAGGAAAUAUCACUGACAGUUAUGAUUUUAUUUUUUUAAAUGUGUAUUU